AACGAACGCUGGCGGCAGGCCUAAAACAUGCAAGUCGAACGCUCUAGCAAUAGGGAGUGGCGCACGGGUGAGUAACAUGUGGGAAUAUGCCUUUUGGUACGGAACAACUUUUGGAAACGAAAGCUAAUACCGUAUGGUCCCUUCGGGGUAAAGAUUUAUCGCCAAAAGAGUAGCCCGCACUGGAUUAGCUAGUUGGUAAGGUAAUGGCUUACCAAGGCGACGAUCCAUAGCUGGUCUGAGAGGACGAUCAGCCACACUGGGACUGAGACACGGCCCAGACUCCUACGGGAGGCAGCAGUUAGGAAUAUUGGACAAUGGGCGCAAGCCUGAUCCAGCCAUGCCGCGUGAGUGAUGAA
rnacentral:rRNA from 1 species